rnacentral:rRNA from 1 species
GACGAACCGAGCAAACGUUGUUCGGAAUCACUGGGCUUAAAGGGCGCGUAGGCGGGUCAGCAAGUCCGGGGUGAAAUCUUUCGGCUUAACCGGAAAAGUGCCUUGGAUACUGCUGAUCUGGAGGGAGGUAGGGGCAGCUGGAACUUCCGGUGGAGCGGUGAAAUGUGUUGAUAUCGGAAGGAACUCCGGUGGCGAAAGCGAGCUGCUGGACCUCUUCUGACGCUGAGGCGCGAAAGCUAGGGGAGCAAACGGG